rnacentral:rRNA from 1 species
CUACGGGCUGCAGCAGUGGGGAAUAUUGCACAAUGGGCGCAAGCCUGAUGCAGCCAUGCCGCGUGUAUGAAGAAGGCCUUCGGGUUGUAAAGUACUUUCAGCGGGGAGGAAGGGAGUAAAGUUAAUACCUUUGCUCAUUGACGUUACCCGCAGAAGAAGCACCGGCUAACUCCGUGCCAGCAGCCGCGGUGAAUACGGAGGGUGCAAGCGUUAAUCGGAAUUACUGGGCGUAAAGCGCACGCAGGCGGUUUGUUAAGUCAGAUGUGAAAUCCCCGGGCUCAACCUGGGAACUGCAUCUGAUACUGGCAAGCUUGAGUCUCGUAGAGGGGGGUAGAAUUCCAGGUGUAGCGGUGAAAUGCGUAGAGAUCUGGAGGAAUACCGGUGGCGAAGGCGGCCCCCUGGACGAAGACUGACGCUCAGGUGCGAAAGCGUGGGGAGCAAACAGGAUUAGAUACCCCUGUAGUC